ACCAGUCAGACUUGAUAUAGGAGUGAAUUUGUUGCUUUUUAAAGCGGCAGUCGGUCUCUACAUGUGUGAGGUGGCGAGGGGUGUCGCCAGGGGGCGGCUAGUAGCGUCUGCCACCAGGGAAAUAUGUAAAAACAUAAAAAAGACGCUUCUCAAGAAAGAGAGGGGCAGUCGGUCUGUACAUGCGUGAGGUGGCGAGAGGCGUGUCCAGGGGGCGGCUAGUAGCGUGUGCCACCGUGGAAAUAUGUACAGACAUAAAGAAGACGCCCUCAAGAAAGGCCUGAGUCCAGACCGAGACCCAGAGAAAUGUAAACAAACGCACCAGUCAGACUUGAUAUAGAAGUGAAUUUGUUGCUUUUUAAAGCGGCAGUCGGUCUGUACAUGUGUGAGGUGGCGAGGGGUGUCGCCAGGGGGCGGCUAGUAGCGUCUGCCACCAGGGAAAUAUGUAAAAACAUAAAAAAGACGCUUCUCAAGAAAGAGAGGGGCAGUCGGUCUGUACAUGCGUGAGGUGGCGAGAGGCGUGUCCAGGGGGCGGCUAGUAGCGUGUGCCACCGUGGAAAUAUGUACAGACAUAAAGAAGACGCCCUCAAGAAAG